AACGAACGCUGGCGGCGCGCUUAACACAUGCAAGUCGAACGAGAAGGCGUAGCAAUACGCUUGUACAGUGGCGAACGGGUGAGUAAUACGUGGGCGACCUACCCUCGAGUGGGGAAUAACCCGCCGAAAGGCGGGCUAAUGCCGCGUACGCUUCCAUCUUUAUGGAGGUGGAAGGAAAGCCGUGCCGUGGGCACGGCGCUCAAGGAUGGGCUCACGUCCUAUCAGCUUGUUGGUAGGGAACGGCCUACCAAGGCUCCGACGGGUAGCUGGUCUGAGAGGACGAUCAGCCACACUGGCACUGCGACACGGGCCAGACUCCUACGGGAGGCAGCAGUGAGGAAUAUUGCGCAAUGGGCGAAAGCCUGACGCAGCGACGCCGCGUGGGGGAUGAAGGUCUUCGGAUUGUAAACCCCUUUCGGGAGGGAAGAUGGGACGGGCAACCGUUCGGACGGUACCUCCAGAAGCAGCCACGGCUAACUUCGUGCCAGCCGCCGCAGUAAC
rnacentral:rRNA from 1 species